rnacentral:lncRNA from 1 species
UAAUAGUCGCCGAUUUUGAGAAAAAAACAAAGAAUCCAUAAAGUUUAUUCCAAUAUAGGCCACAUAUGAAAUCUGGGCAGACUUCUAAAACCUCUCGAUGAAAAAGAACAAGGAGUACGCACAAACACAAGGAUACUUAUGGUUACAGUUUUUGUGCUUUUCAUAAUUCAACAUCACAGAUUCAACAACUCUCAAUUCUAACAAGAGUGAUCUCUGUCUACUUCGGUAAAUCAUUGCGUGUAACCCGCAAAUAGGUUUAUCUGAUAGUACUCAUACGAUUCAGAGAUUAAUCCAGAUGAGAAAAUUAAUUGUCCCUUACAUGAUGAAAAUCAGGGGAAAGCAAGAGGAAACCAGAGAUGUGAAGGGAAAGUAGGAACCAAGUGACGUCACGUCUCUUUUAUCACUCGGAUAUGUUUUUUUCUUCAUGAAAGUGGAGCCACGAUUUAGAUUCCUUAAUACUUCUUUACAUUUCAUGUUACCUCAUUAAUUUUAAUACAUUAUAGUUGAAUUUUGUGUCAAAGACCGAUUUAUGUCACGUUUAUUAAAUAUAGAGAUAUGGAAUGAAAACACUAUGAAACCACAUAUUUUCUUUAUUAUUAUUUUUCUGUU